rnacentral:rRNA from 1 species
GUUGCUUGGAUUAGUGGCAGCAUUAAGUGGGGAAGGUAAACUCCCUUCUAAGACUAAAUAUUACCAUGAGACCGAUAGCGAACAAGUACCGUGAGGGAAAGUUGAAAAGCACUCUGAAUAGAGAGUCAAAUACUACGUGAAAACUGUCUAGGGGCUCAAACGCUAAAGAACCCAAAUAUCUAAACGGAGAAAUUCAAUACUACACGUUAAACACGUAGUGUGCACUUUUCUCUUAGUAAGACACCGUGAUCCAUUAGAAAUUGAUACAUACAAAAUGUAUAUUGGGUCAUCAAUAGGACAAUAUGAAGUUUAUAGGAACAAAUGAUGUAGCCUUUUACGGUUAUAUGUAUUGUCUUGUAAGCAUAUUGUUAUUAACCUGUAAUGACUGUCUGAUGGAUUUUAAAGAUCACAUUAUUAUGAUGUUAAGGCAUCACUCAUUUUAUUAUGAGAGGAAUUUAUAUAUGUGUGUGUCUGAUCAACGGUGGGUUAAAUUUGGGGAUACCUUUUGGACCCGUCUUGAAACACGGACCAAGGAGUCUAUCUAGUAUGCGAGUAAAUUGGAUAGUUAAUGAAAUCUAUUUGGCAUAAUAAAACUUGACUUUUUAUAUAAUGGGGAAUACCGAUUAUUGGU